AUGGCCGCACUGCCGAGGUUAGGAGAAGCAAAGGGCUCGGGCGUGAGGAAUGCUACAGGAACACGCUGCUCCCCAGCUCCCACGCUGCUGUCAUUGUUCUGCCCCCAGCAACAGCUCCACAGAGCUGAAAACUACAGCACCAGCCACACUGCGAGGCAAAAAAUGUGGAUUCAAAGGGCCCCCAGUGAAGAAAAGGCUCACUCGCUACUUGCAACCCCAGAAACUAUUAAAGAAACUGCAGGUCUUGUUUCGUGUAGAUGAAAGGCAGAUGGGAAGACAAAUGCUCAGAAAACUACCGUGAUUUGGACGUGCUCAGGUGUGGAAACACAAAACUAUCUUGCAAGAUCUGAUCUAUACUUUACCAAAAAGCAUGAGCAGGAACUUACAGGCUAUGGAAAAUAUAGAUAUAUAUAAUCCAAGCACCUUAGGUAAGUUUUGAAACUAGAGUAUAACAUUUCUUCUGUCUCCAUUUGACUCAUUUUUCUGGAUGUACCAAAGGUUUAACAUGAAAGUGGGAGCAAUAGCACUCAGUGGUGCCGUGCAGAAAAGGCAAACGCAGCGUGAUCCAUUUCAGAAACAAAGAGAAAAACUGUAAAGCCACUGUGCAGAGCAUCAGAGAAAUAUGAUCUGGAGUACCACGUUCCAUCUUACAUGCUAAUGCUCAGAUCAUAUCAGACUGGGUGAGCUUCACAAAUGGAUCAUUAGUAGCUUAUUUCUGCAUAAAACAUUCAAUGAGGGCCACAAUUUAAAACUUCACAUCGACCAGAAGGAAUCUGUGACAAAGAUUCUCAAGACACAUGGGAUGGAAAUCAACAGUGCUGGAAUCAGCCAUCAUACUGAAAACUGAACUUUGUAAGGGAGAGAAAUGCAGUACGUUUUAAUGCAGCUUCACAGCUUUUGGCAGUUACAUCUCCAGCUAAGAAGUUUGUACGUUAUUUUAUCAAUUAUUAACAUGGAACAUCAGCAAUCCUCUUUGGGAGUGAUUUCUGGGCUUUUAUUUCAAAUGGCCUGACUGAUAUCAGCACUUGGCAUUUUCUUGCCUCAGGGCUCAUAAAAUGUCUUUCAACUAUUUCAUCAUAAACUUCUCACUGAUAAUAAAUCUCUAUUUCUGUGUCUACCA
rnacentral:lncRNA from 1 species